GGAGAGAUGUCAGAGUGGUCGAUCGUGCACCCUUGGAAGGGGUGUGUACUCAAAAGGUACCGGGGGUUCGAAUCCCCCUCUCUCCGCCA
rnacentral:tRNA from 2 species